rnacentral:rRNA from 1 species
UUAAUAAAAAUAAUUUUAUUAAUGAUAUUUUUAGUAUAUUUUAUAGAAAAGAUAUUUUUAGUUAUAGUAGAUUAGUAUUGUAAAAAAAAUUUGAUAUAGAUUAAAAAUUUUUAUAAGUAAGAUUUAUUUUCUGUACCUCGUGUAUCAGGGUUAAUUAAUUAAAGUUUAUUAAUUUAAAUUUCCCGAUUUUAAGAGAUUUAAUAAAUUAUUUUUUUUAUUGUAAUAAAAAUAUUUAUAAUAAUUUAUUAGUAAUGAAAUGUUAUUCGUUCUUAAAGAUAUCUGGUUUAUUUAGAAAUAAAUUUAAUUUAGUUAAUUUAAUUUUAUUUAUAUAUUUUAAAAAAGGAAUAAAUUUAAUUAAUAAUAUUUAAAGGGAUAAGCUUUUAAAUAAAGAUUUAUAAUAUAUUUGGGUUUAAAUAAAAAAAUAGGUUUAGAGAUAUCUAUUAUUUAUAGUUUGUUAUAAUUAUUUUAUUUUUAUUUAUUAUUUAAUAUGUAUUUAAUUUUUUAUAAGUAAAUAUUAUUUAAUAAUAAAUUAUUAGGUAUAAUGAUUAAAUUAGUAUAUGUAUUAUAUUUAUAUAAUAAGAUAAAUAAGAUUAAUUAAAGGAAUUCGGCAAAAAUUUUAUUCGCCUGUUUAACAAAAACAUGUCCUUUAGAGAUAAUUAAAGGUUUAACCUGCCCACUGAGAAAUUUUAAAUGGCCGCAGUAAAUUGACUGUGCAAAGGUAGCAUAAUCAAUAGUUUUUUAAUUGAAAGCUUGUAUGAAUGGUUGGACGAGAUAAAAUCUGUCUUUAUUUAAUAGAUAAAAUUUAAUAUUUAAGUUAAAAAGCUUAAAUAAAAUUAAAAGACGAGAAGACCCUAUAGAUCUUUAUAAUAAAUUAAUUAUUUAUAUUAAAGAUUAGUUUAUAUUUUAUUUAUGUUAUUAUUAUAUUGGGGUAAUAGAGAGAUUUAAUAAAUUCUUUUUAAAAAUUGACAAUAAUUUUUGAUUUAUUGAUCCAUUAAUUAGUGAUUAAAAGAUUAAGUUACCUUAGGGAUAACAGCGUAAUUUUUUUAGAGAGUUCAUAUCGAUAAAAAAGUUUGCGACCUCGAUGUUGGAUUAAAAAUUAUUCUAGGUGUAGUAGUUUAGAAUUUUGGUCUGUUCGACCAUUAAAUUUUUACAUGAUCUGAGUUCAGACCGGUGUAAGCCAGGUCGGUUUCUAUCUUUAGUUAAUGAUAAUAUUUUAGUACGAAAGGACCGGGUAUUGAAUAUGAAAUAUUUAUAUUUAUUGAAUUAUAUU